AUACGGAGGGUGCAAGCGUUACUCGGAAUCACUGGGCGUAAAGCGCGCGCAGGCGGGCUGAUAAGUUGGAUGUGAAAGCCUACGGCUCAACCGUAGAACUGCAUCCAAAACUGUCAGUCUCGAGUCUGGGAGGGGAAGAUGGAAUUAGUUGUGUAGGGGUAAAAUCCGUAGAGAUAACUAGGAAUACCAAAAGCGAAGGCGAUCUUCUGGAACAGUACUGACGCUGAGGCGCGAAAGCGUGGGGAGCAAACAGGAUUAGAUACCCUAGUAGUCC
rnacentral:rRNA from 1 species